rnacentral:lncRNA from 1 species
UCCUCUCUUAUAAAAUGCAGGUACAAAGAUAUGAAGAGAGGAAGACUCCUACUAAACCGAGCAUACUAGGAUGGGUCGCUUCAAGAGGAUGUCGAUCAACUCUUUAAAAUGUUGGAGAGACUUAUCUCUGCCUAGCAGGCCUAUAAAGAAAGGAGGGAGUUGUCUGACCCUCUAUCCCUGCCACAGUUUGAGACACCCCUGCAACAAAAAGAUCUAGUGCCACCCCAAUACAGCCCUACUCCUCCACCAUAUCAUCUGGUACC